UUCAAUUAUAUGAUUUAUUCCUUUUUCUCUAUAACAAAGAAAAAUAGAAAUAAAUGAACUUUCUCACAUGCCAUAUUUUAGUUAUUCUAUAUUUAUUUAGAUCACUGGAUUUCUUGACCAUAGAUCACUCCUACUUUUUGAGAUGGACCUUUUUUUACAUUUUGGUGUGAUAAAAAAAAGAUGUAAGAUCUUCUCAAUCAUUCUUGCUUGGCUCAAUUAGUUGAAUUUCUCCAAAUCUUUCAGAUUGUCUCAUAAAUUCCCAACUAGCGAAUCACUCUAAGUUUUUGAUAUGGAGUUUUUAUUUUUGUAACUUCUCCAUAAUUGUCACAAUCUAUUCCAAACCAUGUAUUUCUUCAUUGAUCUAUAUUUUGCUUCUGUAUUUACUCUUUUUUUCCUAAAUCUCUACCAAGUCUCAGAUCUUGGAACACUACGAAAUGAACAACCUUCUCCUCAAUAUAUGUUAUCUUAGUAAUGGUUCUCUCUAAUGUGCAUUGCACAUGCUUGUUUGCUAGUGUUUUCAUUAGGCAUUGUUUUGCAAGUCAUCAUUCCCUCCUGCAUGUCUCCAGCCUUCUAAGAUACUAGGUAUUGAGGAUUUCAUCUUGGUUAAAUUAUUGGUUUUUAUCUCUAUUGGCAACUCACUAAAAUGAUAUAAUUGAUAUAGACUGAAUAUUCCAAAUUCUUGGCCAUAUAAUAUUUAAAUAUUGGCUAAUAUUAGUCUUUUAUAUUUAAAUAUUUGCUAGACUUUAAUAUCAUGAUUCUUAUAAUUUUGGUCAAGAUCUGAAGAUAUCUUGGAUCUUUCCCGAUUUACCAUUUCCCAUUUUAGUUGAGACAAAUAGAUAUCUCAGUCCAUCGCUGUCUCUAUCACCCACCAAGAUGGUUAAGAUUUUGUCUUAAAAACCUAGUUGAAUGUAUCUCUUUCAUCCCUGGCUCCCUGCCAAGUAAUCUUCUUGGGUUGUUUGAGCCAAGAUUCGCUGUCUUGAUACCGGAUUCUAUAUCGAUACCAUCCUAUUAUAAUGUCGGUAUGUUGUUCGGUACAGUACGAGAUGGCAUAUCGUAUAUUGGUACAGUAUGAGACACUAUAUCGAUAUGAGAUUGGUAUGGUACGGGAUGUACUGAGCGGUUUUGGUUUGGUACGGCAUUUUAUGAUUUGGCCCUUCGAAUCAAUACAAAUCAUAUUAUAAUAGGUCUCAUACAACAAAAUGAUUGGGGUAUCUGUUGUCCAUUAAUUUUAAAUGGGGCCUCAUUUUGAUUUUUUUUACUAAAAUUGCGUGCUACUUUGACUUUCAUUUUGCUGAUUUUUGAGCAUACUAAAGCUUUCAUCCUACAUCAAAUUUAGCAUUUAAUUUUGUUUUUGUCUCAUCAAUUAGUACUAUAUUAUCUGCAAUUAACAUGCAAAUAGUACAUCUUCCUUAGUAUAGAGAGGGUGGAGGUGUUUCAGGGGAUAAAACUAAUAAUGAUACAUACAGGGACGAUUGUGAUAUCACCUUUUAGUGGGUUGAGAGGGAAAAUUGAGAGUACCAUUUGUUUGCUGUCUUAUAUCUCAUAAUAAAUCUCCCAGCUUUAUUGUCAUUGUUAGCUUCACUUUUAGAGCAACAAUUUUGAAGAAACAAGUAUGCUGACCUGAACACAAUAUAUUGAUAAUCUGAACCAUAUCCAACAUCAAACAAGUUGGAACAACAUGUUUUUCAUCGAACAAAUGGUAAAAAGAUUAUAGAGAAAAUGAAUAAUUUCAUUAUGUCCCCCCCCCCCCCCCCAACUCAAAAAAAACCAAAAAAAAAGAGAAUAAUUUCAUUCAGAUGAUAUUGAAAGGGAAAACAUAAUACUUCAUAAAACCCUUGGAUCCUUUUCUGCAUUAUUGAUCAAUCAUUAUCCAAUCUUGUCCUCCAUAUUGAAUAGAGUAUUGUUUGGUGGUGUGCUGUUAGCUUUAUUAUCUAGAAUACCAGAUAAAAUUCUUCUGUAUUUGUUGUCCAGCUGGCUGAUUCUUUUGUUAUAAGAUAUGAAAUCACUAGUCAAUGGGCUGUCGCAUAUCUUUGUUGGGUAUACGUGCUCUAAAAGAUGCCUUGGCAUAUGAUGACAUGACUGCCAAAGAAGGUGCUUAGCUGAAUAUGUUUUCAGUGGCUGACUAAAUGACUGUUGCAUUCCUUCAGUUCAAGCUGUCACUCUUAACCAAGUCCAUGUCUUCUUUUAGAUCCUCAAAUGAGAUGUUAAUACAUAUUUCAUAGUGCAAGGUGAACUGUGCCUUCUUAGGUAGCUUAAUCCUUUCCGGCAAACUGUUGCAGACCUUUAGACCAUGAAGAAUAGUUCCAUGGCCAAGGUUUUGUGACAAUUUAUUACAGGGGAAUAUGGAGUUGCAGCUUUAUGUUCCAGGUUCUUCAUUUAUUUUAGCUGACCAUGUCAUGUAUCUUUUCUCGUCGCAACCGUUUUGUCUCUGUAAGUAAUAUUGUUAUUUCAUUCCAUUCCCCACAAUGUUUUUUUGUCACAACCGUUUUGUCUCUGUAAGUAAUAUUGUUAUUUCAUUCCAUUCCCCACAAUGUUUUUUUCCCAUAUUUUUGUGCAUUGGUGUUCUCUUAAAAUUCCCUAUGCCUCACUAAUGUAGUCCAGAUCAAGGAAUAUGAGUUUUACAUGUGUAGAGGACCCAUUUGUGGGCCCAAUUUGAUUUUUUGGUCAAAAGACUGGAACUAGAUCUUGAUCAUAAUCCUUUUUGGCCUUAAAUAGUGAUUGUUUGAAGUUGUACAUCCACAUCACUAACCCCCAUCAUGUGCUACUUUGCGUAUCCAUAUUAAGAAGAGCAUUCUGGGAGUCAUCACCCUCUUCAUUUUGCAUGGAUAUGGCCAGAAAGAAGGGCCUAUUUCCUACAUUUCGAUGUGAAUAGUGAGAGGGUAAGGAAAGUAGAAGAAAGAAGCGAGUGAGUGAGUUAGAGAGAGAGAGAGAGAGAGCUUGCUGUUCAUCUUCUUUCUUCUUAUCUUAUAAUCUCAUCCUUUCAUUGAAGUUGAAUUGCUAUUGCAUGUAUGCUGUAUUUUGAGUCAUCUAGGGUUUUUGAGAGGAGAGAUAAGGUGUAAUGCCAGAUGUUUACUGAAUACCAAAAAUUUUUUGCUUCCCUUUUGUCCAAUGGAACCUAGUCUAAGGCUUGAUUUGCCUCAGAACGGUAAUACAAUCCAAAUGUCUGGAUUUACAGCCAUUAAGACCAAUAUUUUCAAAUAGUGAUGACACAAUAUCUGAGAUUCAUAUUCGAAUCCUUACUAGUUGAAAACGUCAGCAGGGGUGUUGUGUCCAGAAUCUUUCCAUGAAUUCAGUUUUGCAACUGCUUGCUCAGUUUUUUUUAUUGUAAAUUUCAUGAAAUGUUGUUUCCCCACUCCAACACCCAUACCCACCCCUUCAUCUAUUAAUGCUUCAAUUAAUUAAUUUAGAUCUAAGGUGAUUCAUGAGAUGGGGAGUUAGCAAUCCCCUCACAUCAUUCGGCUUUUCUCCUUUAUUUACAAAAUUUGGUACUCAUUCGUGCCUUUUUCUUUCCUACUGCCAAAAUAUUUUCCAUAAAAGAACCAGUUUUUCUCUGCAUUGUUUUCUUGACCAUCUUGUGCUCUCCUUGGAGCCAAAUUUUGUUGCCUUCGACUGCUGGCAACAAUAUGAUGAUUCUUUAAAGCACUUAAUAUGGACACUGUCCGAUAAGAGUGAAUUGCAAAGUUAUCUCAUGCAGCCCUCUCGGGCCUCUUUUCCUCUGUCAGAACAUUGUUGGACUGACAUGCACUUAUUGUGGUUUGAGAACCUGGGUAUAGCAGAAUUUUGUAUCCAUGUUCAUUUUCCUCUUCUCAUCUUCACCUACUAAAUUAAGCAUGUUGUUUCCACUUAAAUCACUCAAAUGAUGCCAAAUGUGUGCAAGAAUCGAUUAUGAAAGGAUGAACCUUCUAAAGCUAGUUUAUGCAAUAAAUCAAAAUCACAAUUUUGUAUCCCGCCAAGAUAAAUACGUUUAACAGCCAAUGGUAUACCUAUUAUAUUCCUUUCCCAAGUCCCGGCAAAAUUUCAAGAAAAUGGAAAAAGUAAAAAAUUUUAGCAAAAAAAAAAAAAAAAUCCCAUUUCAAAAGCACAACCAACAAAAAAAAAAAAAAUUGAGAACCCUCAUCGCCGCCUUCAUAAAGUAAAGCAAAGAGAUCGUCGUGAAACCCCGACCAAUCGAAGCUCUCUUCCGCCGCACCGAUGCCACUCUUGCCACUCCGGUAUUACGAUCCGCCGGAAUCAUCCUAUCGCCGCCCGCCUGCUGGAAAGUUCAGGACUCCCUGGCGGACAUGUCUCCGGCGAUCGUAGAUUUCCGGACACCGGCGGCCGCCUCUUCCCAGGUCCACCCCAGGCGAUCCCCUCCUUCAAACUCUGGAAAAGGUCAGAUCCUCGUCCCCCCUCCCUCUUUCUCCUUCCAUCCCACUGGCAUUCCCCCCACCGAUCGCCCCUCCGUUUCUACCUCCGCCUCUCCGAUGGAUAAGGUGAACCUAGGGCAUUCAUUUUCGGGCUCCGGGAACUCCAUUGAUGGCGGUCUCAAUGAUGAUUUCGCUUCCUCUGCCCCUUCUUUGCCACCGUCCACAUUUCCCUCGGUUUCGGCCGUCGGGAAGCCUUCGCCGGCGGCGGGCUCUCGAAGCCCUGCCCCGUGAAGGUGAGGAAGUAUUUCGCGUCCUCCCGGGUGAGGCCAACUUUAGCUUCGGAGGUGAGAGAUGCUUCGGGGUUCAACCCGUUUCGAACGGAGCCGGCAGUUUCGGCUGCUGGUGCAGCCGAUCAGAAGGAGGGUGGUAGAAUGCGUGGGCUGAGUGAGAAGCUUCAUUCGUGGAAGCAAUUCGGUUCUGAGCCAGGAAUUACGGUUCCUGAGAAUUCAAGUGGUCCUUCUGUUUUCCCACAAACGUAUUUUGUACUUCCCCCUACGGUUAAUGAAAAACCAGUCUUCUAAACUCUCUUUUGGAGUGAAAUGUAUGAAGUUCUCUAAA